CCUUGUGUUACGGCGUCCAAUUGGAGUGCUUCGGUUAUCUCAGCUGCCAACAAGCCAUUUGGAGCCAUUACUGUGUUUUCCAUUUUUCAUUUGUCUGAGUGUUUUGUACCGUUUUGAAUGGCCAGUGCCAGUAGCCAAACAUGAUCAACCACUAAAGAGAUCGGUUAAGUGAACUGGGAAGUAAAGGAUAGUGGUCAGUAUUAACACCAGGCCCGUACUUAGGGGGGUGCGCCCCCCCUCCCUCUUGGCAGGCACAAAGUGGGUCAUUUCUUCAAAGAGGUUAAAGGUAUAUGCGCGCGCAGAGUAAAGGUACGGUAAUACGAGCAGCAAAAUCGUACAACUUAUGUGGCAGCAUUUG